GGGUGGUUGAUGCUACGAAAAAAAUUGACAAGAAAAGAAAAAGAAAAAUGUGAAGAAAAAGAAGAAAAAGGAACAAGAUCAAGAAAAAGAAUCAAUAGAUGAAAAGUUGGAAAAAGAAUUGAAAAUUGGUUGCAAAUUCUUGAUGUUAAGAAGUGGAAAUUGUUGAAUUGUGCUGAUUUGAAUGCUCUCUUAGCUCAAGGUGCUUUGUUGUCCAGAAAAACCAAUUUUUCUUUCUUAGCCCAACCAAAAUACAAGCCUUGAAAGUCCUUGUGAUGCAAACUUGCAGGUGAAUGUUUUCAUUGUGGUAGAAAUGAAAGGCAAAGUUGAAUUGUGUGACCUUUGUGUUGCUAAGAGUGAGAAACACGCAUCCUUAUACACCAGUGUGCUUGAGAGAAACAAUUUCCUUGGUGAGGAAAGGGUUCAUGUUAGUGUUG
rnacentral:lncRNA from 1 species